UUUAAAUAGUUUAAAAAAAAUAAUAAUUUGUGGAGUUAGAGAUAUUUAAGAAUUUUAAAU
rnacentral:tRNA from 1 species